GUUGUUUCAAUUAGACGUAAUCUAUUUCUUACAUUGACUUGAUAGGACGAUGAAUUCUUUUAUAUUUCCUCUCCUCAUGGCUCUUGCUUUAACUUGUGCCGAUGCGUCUACAGUUUUCUGUGACACGGGAUUCCAAAAAUGUCCCAAACCAUCCAAGUAGAUCGUACCAGUAAACGGUAUAAGAAUGUACUAUAGUAUAUAAUACAUAUUAGUACAUUAAGAAAAUGAAUUUUAACGAAAAAAUGCGAAUUUGAUUCUCAC